rnacentral:rRNA from 1 species
ACCUAAUAGAUACCCUGGUAGUCCACGCCCUAAACGAUGCGAACUGGAUGUUGGGUACAUUACGGUGCUCAGUGUCGAAAGCUAACGCGUUAAGUUCGCCGCCUGGGGAGUACGGUCGCAAGACUGAAACUCAAAGGAAUUGACGGGGGGCCCGCACAAGCGGUGGAGUAUGUGGUUUAAAUUCGAUGCAACGCGAAGAACCUUACCUGGCCUUGACAUCUGUCGAAUCCUGCAGAGAUGCGGGAGUGCCGCAAGGAACGACAAGACAGGUGCUGCAUGGCUGUCGUCAGCUCGUGUCGUGAGAUGUUGGGUUAAGUCCCGCAACGAGCGCAACCCUUGUCCCUAGUUGCCAGCACAUCAUGGUGGGAACUCUAGGGAGACUGCCGGUGACAAACCGGAGGAAGGUGGGGAGUGACGUCAAGUCCU